AAUGAAUUGCCUGAUAAAAGGAUUACUUUGAUAGAGUAAAUUAUAUAAUAUAAAUUAUAUUCAUUA
rnacentral:tRNA from 1 species